GUACGACCGCUGAGCACAGGCUCAGUGCUGCUUUCUGAUUAAAUUCCAGUUUGGCCCUACUCCUCUGUCAGGCCUCUGCUUCCCCUUUCCUCGUCUGGAAGAGGAGGAGUCAGACAGGCCCGUUUCUAAGACCCCCGGGACAGUCCUGGGGCUCAGUGAGGCCUCGGGGGUCCAGGGAGGUCCUCACGGCCUCGCCACCCAGUGCUGGACACGCUGAGGGUUCGCUGAGGCUCCGCCAGCCCGCAGCCCGGGAUGAGGGGUGGUCGUGCCUCCCCCCGCCACCCCCCCCCACCCCCUGUCUGGGCCGCUCGUCUAAGUGUUUCCCAAAGGCUCGCCUCAUCCAGCUGACCCCACUCGGCCUUGCCUUUGUUACCUUAAAAAGUGCCGGUUUUGAGACACAUUUGCACGUGAGAGGCACUAGCCUCUGGUUUUCUUUCCUCAAAGCUUCGGGCCCCUGAGUGGAGCAAGGGGCCUGUGGUCCAGUUCCGUCCGGGGAGGUGGCUUGCUCCAUCGCCUCCUCUCUCAUUUCCUCUUUGGGGACGGGCAGGACCUGUCUUGUCCUCGCCGCUGCCGCGCAGGGAGCGUGGGACGGGGUGCUCUGGACCGGCUGGGCUCGGGAGUGACCAGCCCGAAUCAGCACCACCUGGAGCCUGAGUCGGCCACAGGCCCUGCAGGCGGGGCUGCGGGUCACGGCCUUGCAAGUGGCACCUGCCGCUUCGCGGGGGGGGAGGGGGGGCACUUUUCUUGUUUUUUCUUAUUUCCAUCUUCCUUUGAGUUUGCUUUCUUUGAGACGUGUCUGUGAAGUGAGCACCGCCAGCACGCAGCGUCCCGGCUCACGCCCGUGCCCAGCCUGACGUAAAGAUCUGAGCCACAGGGGCUUACGGAGGUAUGAGUCAUCUCUCCAGAAGUGAACUUGAGCUCAGUCGUGUUGUCAGAUGACCUUGGCGGGACUGGGCGCGUGGCUGCCUCCUGCAUCGGCUUUGGAAACGACGGGAGGAUGGAGGUGAGGUUCUCCGCACGGCUCGGCUGGAACCUGGGCUGUUUCCUUCCCCAGGGCCGUGGUCCCCGUGGUUUCCCGCUCUGUGACUCCGCCACACUGGGGAUGUGGACACGUCUCGUUAACAAGGACAUGGAGGACGUGGGCAGUGGUUGCCGCAGCCCCGGUCACGACGGCUGCCACGGUAUCACACGCUUCAGGACGGGGUGUGGGACGAGGGAGAUGGAAUCUGUUUCUCUGGAAGCCCGUGUGGUUUAGAGUGAAGACGUUGUUUUCCUGAUUCCCGUCCGUGACAGCCCGUGUCUUGGGGACGGAAGAACAGCCCAGGAGCGUCACCUCCGUGUGUAAAUUGAUGGCGUGACGUUGCUCAAGCCUCCCCUUCCUGGAAGGACCUCUCGAACUGAGAGCAAAAGCCAGCUUUGCAGAUGCGCUGCUCUCCUUUGCCUUCGAGGAGGAGGGAGGCUUGUGCGGACCCUCUGCUGGGGGAGGUCCUGGGCUGAACCCUCAGGAGGGCAGGCCGAGGGCCCGAACUCUGAAAGCAGCCCCUGGGCGCGCCGAGGGUGAGGAGGUCGCGGGACCUACCGCGGGUAGGCCGUGGCCCUGCUCCUCCGCUGGCUGUGCCUGAGCCCCAGGCGAGGCCGUCGCCGUGCCAUGGACUCCUUGCCUGCCUUGGGGAGGACGGCCGGCAGUAGCUGUGUCGGGAGAGACGCGGCCUCGCUGUUCUUGCCGUCUUCCCACUGCUCAGACCCAACCCGGCAAAACCCGUUACGAGGUGGCUUAUUCCCACUUAGGCUUGGGGACGAGACGGAUGACGUCACGUUGCAGAGAGCGAGACAGUGGCUCAUGCUCGGCCAGCAUUUGCUGAGUAAACGGCAGAGGCGGUAAACGUCUGUGCAGCCCAGCGCGUGCUCUGCUCCUGCCCUGGUGGGCUCCGUCUCAACGCUGGCUCGUCCAGGCCUCCCUCAGGAGUGCCUCUGAAGCAGAGACCACCACCUGCCUCUGGACUUGGAGGUGGUGGAGGGAUGGAACGCUGAGCUUCUGGAGACAUUAAAACGUUAUUUCUGGGCCUCCCUGGUGGUGCAGUGGUUGAGGGUCCGCCUGCUGAUGCAGGGGAUGCGGGUUCGUGCCCUAGUCUGGGAAGAUCCCACAUGCCGCGGAGCGGCUGGGCCCGUGAGCCAUGGCCGCUGGGCCUGCGCGUCCGGAGCCUGUGCUCCGCAACGGGAGAGGCCACAACAGUGAGAGGCCCACGUACCAGGAAAAACAAACAAACAAACAAAACAGCAUUAUUUCUGAGCAGCCGUAGAGGUCUCUUGGUGGGGAGCAUUGGUACAGGAAGGAAACCGUGGGCUUGUUAAUGGGCGUUUACCCUCACAUAUCAUUUUAAUUCCGGUCGGCAGUACGCUGCCGACUGGCCUCCUGGCGGGAAGCGGAAGAGGAAGGUCUGCACCGAUCGGUGUCAGCCCCUGAGGAAUAAUGAUUGGGAAGGAAAGAGCUGACACUCAUCUGACUUUCCACUCGAACAGUGUUUUUGUGAAGAUGUGCACUUUAAGGGCUCACUGAUGCACUUGAUAAAGACUUCCUAAGUCUAUGAUUAUUAAUUAAAGCAGUGAAUGGA